CUUGAAAUUCCAUUCAUGAACCUUAUAGCAUUUUUGUGAUAAAACAAACAAGAUAGACUACUACUUGACAACCACCAGUCUACUCUAGCUAAAGUAAGACGGUACAGCUGGGCAAUUUAGGGAAGUAGUCAAUAAAGGCUCUGGCUGGUCAGGCAGGUUGGACAACAAAUUGUGUUUUCAUGAUUUGCUGGUAUUCUAAAUGUUCUAGUAUUCUGAUUUCAGCAAUAUAGUUGUGCAUACAGAACUCUCCAUUUGGCAAAUCUGACCAUAACUAUCCUCCUGAUUCCCGUUUACCCACAAAAAACUAAAACAGGAAGUACCAGUGGCAAGCUCAAUAAGGAAGUGGUCUGAUGAAGCGGAUGCUAAGAUACAGGACUGUUUCGCUAGCACAGACUGGAAUAUGUUCAGAGAUUCAUCUGAUGGAAUUGAGGAAUUUACCACAUCAGUCACGAGCUUCAUUACCAAGUGCAUCAACAACAUCAUCCCCACAAUGACCAUAUGUUUAUAUCCCAACCAGAAGCCAUGGAUUACAGGCAACAUUGAGCUGACGCUUUCAAUGAGCGGGACACUAAUCCAGACACUUAUAAGAAAUCCUGCUACACCGCCCAACGAACCAUCAAACAGGCAACGGGUCAAUACAGGACCAAGAUCGAAUCCUACUGCACCAGCUCUGGUGCUCGUCUGAUGUGGCACGUCUUGCAAACUAUCAUGGAUUACAAAGGGAAAUCCGGCCGUGAGCUGUCCAGCGAUGUAAGCCUACCAGACAAGCUUCUAUGCUCGCUUUGAUGAACCAUGCACGAGAGCACCAGCUGUUCCGGAUGACUGUGGGAUCUCGCUCUCCAUAGCCGAUAAUAAGGCUGUAACGUAACAAAAUGUGGAAAAAGUCAAGGGGUCUGAAUACCAUCCAAAUGCACUGACCUGAGCCCUAGGACCAUGCCCCAGGACUACCUGACAUGAUGACUCCUUGCUGUCCCCAGUCCACCUGGCCAUGCUGCUGCUCCAGUUUCAACUGGCCUGGGCCCUAGGACCAUGUCCCAGGACUACCUGACAUGAGGACUCCUUGCUGUCCCCAGUCCACCUGGCCAUGCUCCUGCUCCAGUUUCAACUGUUCUGCCUUACUAUUAUUCAACCAUGCUGGUCAUUUAUGAACAUUUGAACAUCUUGGCCACGUUCUGUUAUAAUCUCCACCCGGCACAGCCAGAAGAGGACUGGCCACCCCACAUAUGCUCUCUCUAAUUCUCUCUUUCUUUCUCUCUCUCGGAGGACCUGAGCCCUAGGACCGUGCCCCAGGACUACCUGACAUGAUGGCUCCUUGCUGUCCCCAGUCCACCUGACUGUGCUGCUGCUCCAGUUUAAACUGUUCUGCCUUAUUAUUAUUCGACCAUGCUGGUCAUUUAUGAACAUUUGAACAUCUUGGUCAUGUUCUGUUAUAAUCUCUACCCGGCACAGCCAGAAGAGGACUGGCCACCCCACAUAGCCCGGUUCCUCUCUAGGUUUCUUCCUAGGUUUUGGCCUUUCUAGGGAGUUUUUCCUAGCCACCGUGCUUUUACACCUGCAUUGUUUGCUGUUUGGGGUUUUAGGCUGGGUUUCUGUACAGCACUUUGAGAUAUCAGCUGAUGUACGAAGGGCUAUAUAAAUAAAUUUGAUUUGAUUUUGAUUUGAUUUAAAGUGCUGUAAUUUCUUAACAGUUCACCCGAUAUCGAUGGAAAUACCCUAAAAUGAAAGCUGACAGUCUGCACUUUAACCACAUAGUCAUUGUAUCAUCCAAAGUGCUGGAGUACAGAGCCAAAACAUCAAAGCAUUUGUCACUGUCCAAAU